rnacentral:rRNA from 1 species
GCAGUCGAACGGUGAUCCCAGAAGCUUGCUUUUGGGUGAGCAGUGGCGAACGGGUGAGUAACACGUGAGUAACCUGCCCCUGACUCUGGAAUAAGCGCUGGAAACGGCGUCUAAUACCGGAUAUGACACCAAUCCGCAUGGGUAUGGUGUGGAAAGUUUUUCGGUCUGGGAUGGACUCGCGGCCUAUCAGCUUGUUGGUGAGGUAAUGGCUCACCAAGGCGAUGACGGGUAGCCGGCCUGAGAGGGCGAUCGGCCACACUGGGACUGAGACACGGCCCAGACUCCUACGGGAGGCAGCAGUGGGGAAUAUUGCACAAUGGGCGCAAGCCUGAUGCAGCGACGCCGCGUGAGGGAUGACGGCCUUCGGGUUGUAAACCUCUUUCAGCAGGGAAGAAGCGAAAGUGACGGUACCUGCAGAAGAAGCACCGGCUAACUACGUGCCAGCAGCCGCGGUAAUACGUAGGGUGCGAGCGUUGUCCGGAAUUAUUGGGCGUAAAGAGCUUGUAGGCGGUUUGUCGCGUCUGCUGUGAAAAUCCGGGGCUCAACCCCGGACUUGCAGUGGGUACGGGCAGACUAGAGUGUGGUAGGGGAGACUGGAAUUCCUGGUGUAGCGGUGAAAUGCGCAGAUAUCAGGAGGAACACCGAUGGCGAAGGCAGGUCUCUGGGCCACUACUGACG